GCCGGGUGUGGUGAUGUAUGCCUGUAAUCCCAGCUACUCGGGAGGCUGAGGCAGGAGAAUCACUUGAACCCAGGAGGUCGAGGUUGUAGUGAGCCCAGAUCGUGCCACUGUACCCCAGCCUGGGCAACAGAGUGAGACUCUGUCUCAA
ensembl:misc_RNA Metazoa_SRP Metazoan signal recognition particle RNA